rnacentral:rRNA from 1 species
CUAACCAGGAUUCCCCUAGUAACGGCGAGUGAAGCGGGAAGAGCUCAAAUUUGUAAUCUGGCGGUCUCUGGCCGUCCGAGUUGUAGUCUGGAGAAGUGUUUUCCGUGCCGGACCGUGUACAAGUCCCUUGGAACAGGGCGUCAUAGAGGGUGAGAAUCCCGUCUUUGACACGGACUGCCGGUGCUCUGUGAUGCGCUCUCGAAGAGUCGAGUUGUUUGGGAAUGCAGCUCAAAACGGGUGGUAAAUUCCAUCUAAAGCUAAAUAUGGGCGAAAGACCGAUAGCGAACAAGUACCGUGAGGGAAAGAUGAAAAGCACUUUGGAAAGAGAGUUAAACAGUACGUGAAAUUGUUGAAAGGGAAACUUGAAGUCAGUCGCGUCUCUCGGGACUCAGCCUUGCAUCGCAAGGCGCAUUUCCCGGGACGACGGGCCAGCAUCGAUUUCAGUCGCUGGAGAAAGGUCUGGGGAAUGUGGCACCUAUCGGGUGUGUUAUAGCCCUGGGUCGUAUGCAGCGAUGGGGAUCGAGGAUCGCAGCACGCCUGUAAUGGACGGGGUUCGCCCACGCAACGUGCUUAGGAUGCUGGCGUAAUGGCUUUAAGCGACCCGUCUU